rnacentral:rRNA from 1 species
UCGGGAAUUUUGGGCAAUGGGCGAAAGCCUGACCCAGCAACGCCGCGUGAAGGAUGAAGUAUUUCGGUAUGUAAACUUCGAAAGAAUAGGAAGAAUAAAUGACGGUACUAUUUAUAAGGUCCGGCUAACUACGUGCCAGCAGCCGCGGUAAUACGUAGGGACCAAGCGUUGUUCGGAUUUACUGGGCGUAAAGGGCGCGUAGGCGGCAAUUCAAGUCAUCUGUGAAAUCUCCGGGCUUAACUCGGAACGGUCAGAUGAUACUGCUUUGCUAGAGUGCAGAAGGGGCAAUCGGAAUUCUUGGUGUAGCGGUGAAAUGCGUAGAUAUCAAGAGGAACACCUGAGGUGAAGACGGGUUGCUGGGCUGACACUGACGCUGAGGCACGAAAGCCAGGGGAGCAAACGGGAUUAGAUACCCAAGUAGUCCCUGAGCGGGCUGGCAAGGCGCAU